rnacentral:rRNA from 1 species
AAAUUGAAGAGUUUGAUCAUGGCUCAGAUUGAACGCUGGCGGCAGGCCUAACACAUGCAAGUCGAACGGUAGCACAGAGAGCUUGCUCUCGGGUGACGAGUGGCGGACGGGUGAGUAAUGUCUGGGAAACUGCCUGAUGGAGGGGGAUAACUACUGGAAACGGUGGCUAAUACCGCAUAACGUCGCAAGACCAAAGAGGGGGACCUUCGGGCCUCUUGCCAUCAGAUGUGCCCAGAUGGGAUUAGCUAGUUGGUGAGGUAACGGCUCACCAAGGCGACGAUCCCUAGCUGGUCUGAGAGGAUGACCAGCCACACUGGAACUGAGACACGGUCCAGACUCCUACGGGAGGCAGCAGUGGGGAAUAUUGCACAAUGGGCGCAAGCCUGAUGCAGCCAUGCC